UAAUUGAAGAGUUUGAUCAUGGCUCAGAUUGAACGCUGGCGGCAGGCCUAACACAUGCAAGUCGAGCGGUAACAGGAGAAAGCUUGCUUUCUUGCUGACGAGCGGCGGACGGGUGAGUAAUGUAUGGGGAUCUGCCCGAUAGAGGGGGAUAACUACUGGAAACGGUGGCUAAUACC
rnacentral:rRNA from 1 species